rnacentral:rRNA from 1 species
UACAGAGGUCUCAACCGUUGUUCGGAUUCAUUGGGCGUAAAGGGUGCGUAGGCGGUCUGGCAAGUCGGCUGUGAAAUCUCAGGGCUCAACCCUGAAACUGCAUUCGAUACUGCUAGGCUUGAGUACUGGAGGGGAGACUGGAAUUUACGGUGUAGCAGUGAAAUGCGUAGAUAUCGUAAGGAAGACCAGUGGCGAAGGCGAGUCUCUGGACAGUUACUGACGCUGAGGCACGAAGGCCAGGGGAGCAAACGGG